rnacentral:rRNA from 1 species
GCAUAUCAAUAAGCGGAGGAAAAGAAACCAACAGGGAUUGCCCUAGUAACGGCGAGUGAAGCGGCAACAGCUCAAAUUUGAAAGCUGGCCUUCGGGUCCGCAUUGUAAUUUGUAGAGGAUGCUUUGGGUAAAACGCCAGUCUAAGUUCCUUGGAACAGGACGUCAUAGAGGGUGAGAAUCCCGUAUGUGACUGGAAAUGUUAACCUAUGUAAAGCUCCUUCGACGAGUCGAGUUGUUUGGGAAUGCAGCUCUAAAUGGGAGGUAAAUUUCUUCUAAAGCUAAAUAUUGGCGAGAGACCGAUAGCGCACAAGUAGAGUGAUCGAAAGAUGAAAAGCACUUUGGAAAGAGAGUUAAAAAGCACGUGAAAUUGUUGAAAGGGAAGCGCUUGCAAUCAGACUUGUUUAAACUGUUCGGCCGGUCUUCUGACCGGUUUACUCAGUUUGGACAGGCCAGCAUCAGUUUCGGCGGCCGGAUAAAGGCUCUGGGAAUGUGGCCUCCACUUCGGUGGAGGUGUUAUAGCCCAGGGUGUAAUACGGCCAGCCGGGACUGAGGUCCGCGCUUCGGCUAGGAUGCUGGCGUAAUGGUUGUAAGCGACCCGUCUUGAAACACGGACC